UAACCAUGAUGGUGGCAAAGGGCUUACAAUACCUUAUAUCUUUCCCAUGCUUAGUAUAAAGUUUCAUUAUCCUUUUGGGCAAAUGAAGAAAUUUGUUUCUUCAGAGC
rnacentral:snoRNA from 1 species